UGGACCUGAUAUCAACA
rnacentral:rRNA from 1 species